CAGACUGAAGAGACUCAGUUCCCCCAGCCUGUCAGUGCGGGAGAUUCCCUACAGACUGAAGAGACUCAGUUCCUCACUCCCUUCAGCCCCCGGAUGUAACUGCCUGCCUGUGUCUGAAGAUAUAAACGAUGCACCAACCCACUUCUCGUCUGUUUUUUGUCAGCGGUCUCUUCAAGCUGAGUCCUUGCCGAUCUGCAUUUCUGGUUUCUAUAGAUGAAGGUGGUAUAAACAGGUCUUACUCACCUAAAACUCCCAAACCAUCUUCAUUUUCAGGUCCUGUGGCUUAAUGCAAAACUAAAAAAAGUCUAAAAGAAUCAAAAUCCCUCCUCUCUACUGGUGACACUUUCACUACAGGAAACACCGACCCUCCCCGAUUCGUCCAGGCGCCCUCUUGUGGCGACUCCUGGGUACUGCAGGCAACCAGUGGGACACUCCGCUGCAGUACAGACAGACUGGAAGACCGAAACCUCGGGCUCUGCUGAUCUCCUUCCGACACCAGCUUCCCUCAACAGGCGAAUUAGAAGACUCCCUCCAUCAGGCACCGGGAAACAAACACACAGCAGGGGACUCCAGUUUAACAGAUGUGUGUGGGGAGGCGCCCUCUUGUGGCGACACCUGGGUACUGCAGGCGACCAGCAGGACACCCUGCUGCAGUUCAGACAGACUGUCAGUGUCGACUGCUCCCUCCUGGGUCCUGAUCCAGUCACAGGAGACUGAUGGGGAAAUAACCUGUGAAUGGGUGAACUUCACCCCCACAGGAGUCACUGGGGCUGCUGCUGGGGGCUGAUUCCAUGACCUUCGGCUGCAGAUAUGAAACCCACUGUUGGGUCCUGGAGGGGUCAGUCAGUGUGUGUGUCCAGUCCUGGUCCUGGAGGGGUCAGUCAGUCAGUCAGUGUGUCCAGUCCUGGUCCUGGAGGGGUCGAUCAGUCAGUGUGUCCAGUCCUGGUCCUGGAGGGGUCAGUCAGUGUGUGUGUCUGCAGCAGGGCUGUCCAGUCCUAGUCCUGGAGGGGUCAGUCAGUGUGUCCAGUCCUGGUCCAGGAGGGAUCGGUCAGUGUGUGUGUCCAGUCCUGGUCCUGGAGGGGUCAGUCAGUGGUCAGGCUGAAGAGGUGGGGGGAUAACAUGAGAAUGAGAAAAGGGAGGAGUUUGGAGCAUAUUUACAGUUUUUAUUUUUCUCCCUGUACUAACCCUAAAAAUUAAAAGAAUUCAAGUGAAGGAGAACAACAGACUUUACAACAGAUUUAACCGGCUUUCAAGAACAAAGACUCACAGUCAAAACCUCUCUCGCGGUGGUUAACACGCAAAGGAACUACAAUACCCAUCAUUCAUUUCCCACGCAGCAAGCACGCAAAUAAUUGUUUUGCGUGCCACAAGUCCUUGUGGGAGAUGUAGUUUUUGUUUCUCCUCUACAUGAGCUGAAGAAGCUCCCUGCAGUGUCUUGUGGGAGAUGUAGUUUUUGUUUUUCCCUCUAUACAUGGACUUGGGACGUUUCCAGCAGAGGCUCAUGGAAGAUGUAGUUUUUUGUUUCUCCCCUACAUGGGCUGAGGAAGCGCCCUGCAGUGGAUUGUGGGAGAUGUAGUUUUUAUUUUUCCCUCCAUACAUGGGGUGAGGUAGCUCCCCACAGUGGCUUGUGGGAGGCGUAGUUUUUGUUUCUCCUCUACAUNNNNNNNNNNNNNNNNNNNNNNNNNNNNNNNNNNNNNNNNNNNNNNNNNNNNNNNNNNNNNNNNNNNNNNNNNNNNNNNNNNNNNNNNNNNNNNNNNNNNUGUGGGAGGCGUAGUUUUUGUUUCUCCUCUACAUAGGCUGAGGGAGCUCCCCGCAGUGGCUUGUGGGAGGCGUAGUUUUUGUUUCUCCUCUACAUGGGCUGAGGGAGCUCCCCGCAGUGGCUUGUGGGAGGCGUAGUUUUUGUUUCUCCUCUACAUGGGCUGAGGGAGCUCCCCGCUGUGGCUUGUGGGAGGCGUAGUUUUUCAGUGCAGGAUGUCCAUGAGAAAGGCAGCUGAACCUUUCAGCCAAUUGAAGGAAAUGCUGUCCGCAGUCACUGCCUCCUGCUCGCCCAACUCAGCACCAUCAUCAUCCAUCCCAAGUCUGUCCUGUCCCACUGUACUGAACACUGUCCCCACUCCCCCACUGUACUGAACACUGUCCCAUCUCUCUCACCUUGUACUGAACACUGUGCCCUCUCACUGAACAAUGUCCCCUCUCUCUCACCUUGUACUGAACACCGUCCCCUCUCUGUAUUGAACACUUUCCUCUCCCCCACUGUACGGAACGCUGUCCCCUCUCACUGUACUGAACACUAUGCUCAUUCUCCUCCAGAUUUCUUUAUUUCUACACAUAAAUACACAAAAGUGAACUACACAACACACUCACCGACACCCUCUCACACUCAACACUCACACACACUGACUCACUCUCUCAUACUCACUGACACACUCAAUCACUCCCUCACACUCAUUGACACACUCUCACACUCACUGACACACUCAAUCACUCUCUCACACCCCCAACACUCACACUCACUGACACUCUCACACUCACUGACACUCAAUCACUCUCUCACUCACUGACACACUCUCACACUCACUGACACACUCUCUCACACUCACUGACAAACUCACUCUCUCACACUCAUUGACACACUCAAUCACUCUCUCACACUCACUGACACACUCUCUCACACACACUGACUCUCACUCUCUCACACUCAUUGACACACUCAAUCACUCUCUCACACUCACUGACACACUCUCUCACACUCAUUGACACACUCAAUCACUCUCUCACACACACUGACUCUCACUCUCUCACACUCAGUGACACUCCCUCUCUCACACUCAGUGACACACUCUCUCACACUCAGUGACACACUCUCUCACACUCACUGACACUCCCUCUCUCACACUCACUGACACACUCUCUCACACACACUGACUCUCACUCUCUCACACCCAGUGACACUCCCCCUCUCACCCCCAGGUCACGUGACGUCCCCCUCGCUCACACUCACCUCGCACACCUCCUCCUCCUCCUCC
rnacentral:lncRNA from 1 species